UACGGGGGGGGGCAAGCGUUGUUCGGAAUUACUGGGCGUAAAGGGCCAGUAGGCGGCCAACUAAGUCCGACGUGAAAUCCCAAGGCUUAACCUUGGAACUGCGUCGGAUACUGGAUGGCUUGAAUUCGGGAGAGGGAUGCAGAAUUCCAGGUGUAGCGGUGAAAUGCGUAGAUAUCUGGAGGAAUACCGGUGGCGAAGGCGGCAUCCUGGACCGACAUUGACGCUGAACGGCGAAAGCUAGGGGAGCAAACGGG
rnacentral:rRNA from 1 species